rnacentral:rRNA from 1 species
CAAGACCUUGUGCUUUUGGAGCGGCCGAUGCCUGAUUAGCUAGUUGGUGAGGUAAAGGCUCACCAAGGCGUCGAUCAGUAGCUGGUCUGAGAGGACGACCAGCCACACUGGGACUGAGACACGGCCCAGACUCCUACGGGAGGCAGCAGUGGGGAAUUUUGGACAAUGGGGGAAACCCUGAUCCAGCCAUGCCGCGUGAGUGAAGAAGGCCUUCGGGUUGUAAAGCUCUUUCAGCCGGAACGAAACGGUCACGGCCAAUACCCGUGACUACUGACGGUACCGGAAGAAGAAGCACCGGCUAACUACGUGCCAGCAGCCGCGGUAAUACGUAGGGUGCAAGCGUUAAUCGGAAUUACUGGGCGUAAAGCGUGCGCAGGUGGUUUUGUAAGUCAGAUGUGAAAUCCCCGGGCUUAACCUGGGAACU